ensembl:lncRNA
UUUGGAUUCACCUCGCUUCGAGAAACCGUUUCAGCCAUCGAGGAAAGCAGUCCGUGUGGCCAGAGAGUGAGUGUUCAGUCCGGCAGCAUUUUCUCUUUCUGGAGCUCCCCUGACGACGCCUACACUAAAAUGCGACCGAGUGCUGUCUAGCAGCAUCCCUGAGUGUGGCCUCUGCAAUCUAAUCUAUAUUGUGAACGCCAGCUGUCUACAGGGUCUAAUGUUACUCCAUCCUAUCUGUCUGUGGUGUACAAUCUGUUGGCAGGUGCUUCAUCUUGGCGGGCAGAGAAAGAGGAAAUCACACUGGGACAUCUGCGAAGACCUGUAAGAUGGCAAGCACCUGUACUCAACCAGAACGUCUGCCAUCAGGCUGUCUACACUACAGUGGAGCUUGCUUUCCACAGCUGGGAGUGACCUUGGUGGGACUGAUGUGUGGCCUGGGCAGUGCCUGCGCACAAAUUCAAUUAUUUAUGGUGUGGCUGUGUAGAACUCGUGUUUGCUCAGAGAAGAAGUGUCCUCCUCCAUCACAGAGAGCUUCAGGGACUACAGCUGAAUGAAAAGACAUCUGUUCAACAGAAAAGAGAUUAAGAGAAGAGACAUUAUUUACACCAACGUUAACUGUGCACAGGAAGUAUUUGAAAAAGUGAUUGUAAUCAAAAUAUGAUGAUCUCUUGAGGACCAGUAACUGAAAUAUAUAAUGAAAUUGGCCAGAUUGUUUAAAACAAUGGACCCGUUUCACAGACUUUGAUGAUGUGUUUCCACGGUUAUUAACAUCAUUAAUCAAGCAACAUUUUUUGUAUUUUCAUUUUUCAAAAAUGUAAAGUUCAUAACACUACUUUGUUUUAUCAGCUUGCCAUUAAAAUACAGAAAACUAGUUAAUGUUACUGCAUGAGUGUUUAUAAUACCACGGCUGAGGGAGUGACUGCAAAUUUGACAUCUUUCUCUUUUUAAAUGAACGGAUUAAAUGUUUUGACAUUUUUUUACCUCUUUUGUGAAGUCAGAAAUGCAACCACGUAUUUUUCUUUUCCCAUUGGAGCAAAUGAAACUCAAAAAUUAUAUUUUAUAAAUUUACCCAACUAUAAUGACCUCUGCUUCUUAGAACCCUGAAUAAAGGUGAAACGUCCAUUAUCGCUGAGAAAGCAAACAAACAAAACCCAACAGACCAAAUGAGAACUUUAUGUUGCCUGCGUUUCUGUUAGAGGAGAUCUGGUGACUGUACAUGGUAUUCUGAGGAUUUGCUUUGUCCUUCCUCAACUUCCAAUUUUAGAAAACUGCUGCUGAAAUUACAUCACCU